rnacentral:tRNA from 1 species
GCCCAAGAAGCGAUAUCUCGCACUAAGUUUCGGCCUUUGCUUUGGACUUUCUCGUCCCUAGGGCU